UUAAGCGACUAAGCGUACACGGUGGAUGCCCUGGCAGUCAGAGGCGAUGAAGGACGUGCUAAUCUGCGAUAAGCGUCGGUAAGGUGAUAUGAACCGUUAUAACCGGCGAUUUCCGAAUGGGGAAACCCAGUGUGAUUCGUCACACUAUCAUUAACUGAAUCCAUAGGUUAAUGAGGCGAACCGGGGGAACUGAAACAUCUAAGUACCCCGAGGAAAAGAAAUCAACCGAGAUUCCCCCAGUAGCGGCGAGCGAACGGGGAGCAGCCCAGAGCCUGAAUCAGUGUGUGUGUUAGUGGAAGCGUCUGGAAAGGCGCGCGAUACAGGGUGACAGCCCCGUACACAAAAAUGCACAUGCUGUGAGCUCGAUGAGUAGGGCGGGACACGUGGUAUCCUGUCUGAAUAUGGGGGGACCAUCCUCCAAGGCUAAAUACUCCUGACUGACCGAUAGUGAAUCAGUACCGUGAGGGAAAGGCGAAAAGAACCCCGGCGAGGGGAGUGAAAAAGAACCUGAAACCGUGUACGUACAAGCAGUGGGAGCACGCUUAGGCGUGUGACUGCGUACCUUUUGUAUAAUGGGUCAGCGACUUAUAUUCUGUAGCAAGGUUAACCGAAUAGGGGAGCCGAAGGGAAACCGAGUCUUAACUGGGCGUUAAGUUGCAGGGUAUAGACCCGAAACCCGGUGAUCUAGCCAUGGGCAGGUUGAAGGUUGGGUAACACUAACUGGAGGACCGAACCGACUAAUGUUGAAAAAUUAGCGGAUGACUUGUGGCUGGGGGUGAAAGGCCAAUCAAACCGGGAGAUAGCUGGUUCUCCCCGAAAGCUAUUUAGGUAGCGCCUCGUGAAUUCAUCUCCGGGGGUAGAGCACUGUUUCGGCAAGGGGGUCAUCCCGACUUACCAACCCGAUGCAAACUGCGAAUACCGGAGAAUGUUAUCACGGGAGACACACGGCGGGUGCUAACGUCCGUCGUGAAGAGGGAAACAACCCAGACCGCCAGCUAAGGUCCCAAAGUCAUGGUUAAGUGGGAAACGAUGUGGGAAGGCCCAGACAGCCAGGAUGUUGGCUUAGAAGCAGCCAUCAUUUAAAGAAAGCGUAAUAGCUCACUGGUCGAGUCGGCCUGCGCGGAAGAUGUAACGGGGCUAAACCAUGCACCGAAGCUGCGGCAGCGACACUAUGUGUUGUUGGGUAGGGGAGCGUUCUGUAAGCCUGUGAAGGUGUACUGUGAGGUAUGCUGGAGGUAUCAGAAGUGCGAAUGCUGACAUAAGUAACGAUAAAGCGGGUGAAAAGCCCGCUCGCCGGAAGACCAAGGGUUCCUGUCCAACGUUAAUCGGGGCAGGGUGAGUCGACCCCUAAGGCGAGGCCGAAAGGCGUAGUCGAUGGGAAACAGGUUAAUAUUCCUGUACUUGGUGUUACUGCGAAGGGGGGACGGAGAAGGCUAUGUUGGCCGGGCGACGGUUGUCCCGGUUUAAGCGUGUAGGCUGGUUUUCCAGGCAAAUCCGGAAAAUCAAGGCUGAGGCGUGAUGACGAGGCACUACGGUGCUGAAGCAACAAAUGCCCUGCUUCCAGGAAAAGCCUCUAAGCAUCAGGUAACAUCAAAUCGUACCCCAAACCGACACAGGUGGUCAGGUAGAGAAUACCAAGGCGCUUGAGAGAACUCGGGUGAAGGAACUAGGCAAAAUGGUGCCGUAACUUCGGGAGAAGGCACGCUGAUAUGUAGGUGAAGUCCCUCGCGGAUGGAGCUGAAAUCAGUCGAAGAUACCAGCUGGCUGCAACUGUUUAUUAAAAACACAGCACUGUGCAAACACGAAAGUGGACGUAUACGGUGUGACGCCUGCCCGGUGCCGGAAGGUUAAUUGAUGGGGUUAGCGCAAGCGAAGCUCUUGAUCGAAGCCCCGGUAAACGGCGGCCGUAACUAUAACGGUCCUAAGGUAGCGAAAUUCCUUGUCGGGUAAGUUCCGACCUGCACGAAUGGCGUAAUGAUGGCCAGGCUGUCUCCACCCGAGACUCAGUGAAAUUGAACUCGCUGUGAAGAUGCAGUGUACCCGCGGCAAGACGGAAAGACCCCGUGAACCUUUACUAUAGCUUGACACUGAACAUUGAGCCUUGAUGUGUAGGAUAGGUGGGAGGCUUUGAAGUGUGGACGCCAGUCUGCAUGGAGCCGGCCUUGAAAUACCACCCUUUAAUGUUUGAUGUUCUAACGUUGACCCGUGAUCCGGGUUGCGGACAGUGUCUGGUGGGUAGUUUGACUGGGGCGGUCUCCUCCUAAAGAGUAACGGAGGAGCACGAAGGUUGGCUAAUCCUGGUCGGACAUCAGGAGGUUAGUGCAAUGGCAUAAGCCAGCUUGACUGCGAGCGUGACGGCGCGAGCAGGUGCGAAAGCAGGUCAUAGUGAUCCGGUGGUUCUGAAUGGAAGGGCCAUCGCUCAACGGAUAAAAGGUACUCCGGGGAUAACAGGCUGAUACCGCCCAAGAGUUCAUAUCGACGGCGGUGUUUGGCACCUCGAUGUCGGCUCAUCACAUCCUGGGGCUGAAGUAGGUCCCAAGGGUAUGGCUGUUCGCCAUUUAAAGUGGUACGCGAGCUGGGUUUAGAACGUCGUGAGACAGUUCGGUCCCUAUCUGCCGUGGGCGCUGGAGAACUGAGGGGGGCUGCUCCUAGUACGAGAGGACCGGAGUGGACGCAUCACUGGUGUUCGGGUUGUCAUGCCAAUGGCACUGCCCGGUAGCUAAAUGCGGAAGAGAUAAGUGCUGAAAGCAUCUAAGCACGAAACUUGCCCCGAGAUGAGUUCUCCCUGACUCCUUGAGAGUCCUGAAGGAACGUUGAAGACGACGACGUUGAUAGGCCGGGUGUGUAAGCGCAGCGAUGCGUUGAGCUAACCGGUACUAAUGAACCGUGAGGCUUAACCUU
rnacentral:rRNA from 1 species